CCAAUAGCGUAUAUUAAAGUUGUUGCAGUUAAAAAGCUCGUAGUUGAAUUUCGGGAUCAGUAGGUCGGUCGUGCCACUGGUAUGAACUGGUCUCACUGGUUCCUCCCUCUUGACGAACUGCAAUGCUAUUAAUUUAGUGUUGUAGGAAAUCAGGACUGUUACUUUGAAAAAAUUAGAGUGUUUAAAGCAGGCUUUGGCUUGAAUACAUUAGCAUGGAAUAAUGAAAUAGGACGUUCGAUCCUAUUUUGUUGGCUUCUAGGAUUGACGUAAUGAUUAAUAGGGACAGUUGGGGGCAUUAGUAUUCAAUUGUCAGAGGUGAAAUUCUUGGAUUUAUUGAAGACUAACUACUGCGAAAGCAUUUGCCAAGGAUGUUUUCAUUAAUCAAGAACGAAAGUUAGGGGAUCGAAGACGAUCAGAUACCGUCGUAGUCUUAACCAUAAACUAUGCCGACUAGGAAUCAGACGAUGUUAAUUUUUUAAUGACUCGUUUGGCACCUUACG
rnacentral:misc_RNA from 1 species